UCUGCAUUUCCUUCCUUAGAAGAGUCUGGCUUCGUCUCCACCCCUAGGCUGUGGACCUCCAGGGAUCCCAAGUGAAAAUCAGCGACGUUUACCAACGCCUCCUGAUGGCUGAUUCUCAGAACCGCUUCCUGUCUCCUGAUGUGGUUUCUCCCUCUGCCAAGCAUCCCUGCAUUGUGAUGCCAUCUGCCACGAGACUCCCUGAAGCAAAGCCAGUGCUGCCACCGCCCCCUGGAACCUCAGAACCGGACAUCUUCUUUGAUAUCAGGAGUAAUAUUUAUAUUUGAGUGGUGGUACUUCCAUAAGCAUGGCACGUCUUUUAUCGAGCAAGUGUCUGUAAGCCAUUUGAGACCACUGAUGGGAGGAACAGAGAGCAGCAUUUCGGAAAUCCAGUUUUCCCAGCACCAUUUGUUGAAGAGACUGUCCUUGCUCCAGGGAUUGAUUUAGCUUCUUGAUCAAAUGUAAGUUGGUUAUAGAUGUUUGGAUUGAUUUCUGGUGUUUCUGUUUUGUUCCAUUGGUCUGUGUAUCUGUCUUUGUACUUUGUAUCAGGCUGUUUUGAUUAUAACUACUCCAGUAUGUCUUGAAAUCUGGUAUUGUGAUACCCCAGCUUUAUCUAUUUGAGGUCUCCUGUGCUGCCAUAUGAAUUUCAGCAUCUUUUUUUUAUUUGACAGAUAGAGUUAGACAGUGAGAGAGAGAGACAGAGAGAAAGGUCUUCCUUCUGUCGGUUCACUCCCCAGAUGGUCGCUACAGCCGGAGCUACGCCAAUCCGAAGCCAGGAGCCAAGUGCUUCCUCCUGGUCUCCGAUAUUGGUGCAGGGGGCCAAGCACUUGGGCCAUCUUUCACUGCCUUCCUGGGCCACAACAGAGAGCUGGACUGGAAGAGGAGCAACCAGGACUAGAACCCGGCGCCCAAAUGGGAUGCCGGCGCUGCAGGUGGAGGAUUAAUCAAGUGAGCCAUAGGGCUGGCCCCUCAGCACCAUUUUGUCUAGAUCUGAGAAGAAUAUAUUUGGUAUUUUGAUUGGUUUUGCAUGGAAUCUGUAAAUUGUUUUUGGAAGAAUGGACAUUUUGAUGAUAUUGAUUCUGCCAAUCCAUGAACAUGGAAGAUUUUUCCCUUUUUUUUUUUUUUGGAUCUUCUUCUAUUUCUUUCUUUAAUGUUUUGUAAUUCUCAUCAUAGAGAUCUUUGACAUCCUUGGUUAAAUUUAUUUGAAGAUAUUUGAUUUUUUUUGUAGCUAUUAUGAAUGGGACUGAUCCUAGAAGAUCUUUCUCAGCUGUGGCAUUGUCUCACACACCAUUAACACAUGGUUAUGCAAGGGCAGAUUGCAUGUUUUAAAUUAAUUUUCUCUUACAAUAACUCAAAAGACUGGAGGGCCCAGUGCUGUGGCAUAGUGGGUGAAACUGCCACCUGCAGUGCCGGCAUCUCAUAUAUCCUCAGUCGAAGUGAACCCAGGUUAGGCACACACCGCCCAGAAGCAUAACACCGCUUCUCGGUUCCUUCUUUUACUUUUGGUUCACCUGACAAAUUCACAUAAGGGACUGAUCAUCCCAGAAUUCAGAACCAAGUCAUCUUUCCUCACUUGAGAGAGGUGACUCUCCAGAGACACCGUGUGGGCAUACGGCCUUGACCUAAUGAAUCAAGGAGGUCCCCCAUAAGCAGAGGACAUACCAACGAUCUGAUACACCACUGUCUGUUCGUCUAACGUAGGGAACCCCCUGCAUAGUGCCAUCAGCAUCUGAGGUGCUAGGAAUUUGUUUAGUUAUGGCAGAAGUGCUGUGAGUGUCUUUCCUUUGGCUAGAAUUGGCAUGGCACACCAGUCUUAAGUGCUCAAACAUGGGAAAGAUACCCCCCUCUCAGAAGCCCACACAGAUUACCAAACAUAAUGAAUCGGAGACUGAUAAGAGCCUGUCACUCCAGGCCUCUGCCUCACAGGCAACAGUUGACUUAGGGAGAGAGAGCCCUGACAGUGAAAAUGGCAUGACAGCAGACAAUGCAGCAAUGCCUAGUCAGCCACCCCCCAAAUACCUGUGGGAUGAACUUAGACGACCUCAAGAUGAUAACCCACAUGAGCUCAUCCCAUCCGUACCCAGUGAGGAUUCCCACGUUUGUGGCAGUCCCCAGGCACCCCAGGCCCUCAGGGCAGCCACUAAACCGCAUCCCACCCGCAUGUUUGCCGUUAAUGUAGGAGCGGGUGCAGAAUUCAGGCCCUGGAUUCCAGUGCCUGUAGAAAGGCUUCUGCUAACCAAGGGCUGAGGAUAUGCUUGUGUCUUUCCAGAGAAUGCGGGACAGCCCAUUUGGGUAGCAGCCAGAAACAUCAAGCCUGCAACUGACAGUCAACCAGAACCAGCUGAACAAGACUGAGAAUCCGCUUUAUUAGUGGACACACCUGUACCAAUUGUCAAGCUGCUGCCCUAUCAUCCUACCCUGAGGGACUGCCCAUAGCCACAUCCACUACUGCUUUAUAUCCCACUUAGCUCUGGUCAGUCAUUCAAACAGCCAAUAGCCUGUGUGCAGUCAUGCUAUUCCUGAUUACCAUUGUUCCUUAUUCUUACCCCCUUUUGAGCAAGCACUCCUGUGGUCUCCUGUUUUGAGCGCUGGUUAGUCAAUGACGGGUAAGAUCCCCUGGGGGACAACCUAAGACAGGCACAGCUGCAUACGGAGACCACAUGGAAACGGGGUCAACAAUGGUAUGGCCAAGAAUCAUGCCUCCCAUUGCUCAAAAAUAAACGAAACGGGGGAAAUGUGGUGGAAUGAGAAGGCCAUGCCAAGAUGGCCACUGGCGAGCGAGCAUCAGUUACGCAGGAAUGGCUUUGAAACCCACCUGGCAAAGGAGCCUGCCUGGCAACAGGCAGUGAUUGGUUAGGGCAUAAACCACCCCUUGACUGGAUUGAUUGGCUGCGUUGGCUAUAUAAGCUGCUGCACCAACUGAAGUAAACGAGUGUGCAAGCUGCUCUCCUCUGGCCUGCUUUCACCCGACUCCCAGGGUCUAUGUGGUGACUCCGUGCCUCUUGCCCCCACCACACUUCUCCUCUCAGAAUGAAUCCACCUCAACAUGCAUGCACACACCCAUGUACACGUCAUGUUCCUCCUCUGUGCAUCUCUUAAGAAAUGGCUCAGCUUGAGCAAAGUUGACAGGAGUGGAAGGUGGAGCUCAGCACCACCAAAGGUAGCAGCCAAGGACAAUGCCUCAUUUUAUAGAGAUUCUUUCUGGUGGUUUUUUUUUUUUUUUCCCCUCAUGGACCCUUCUGAAAGUCUGGUGAAUUUCAUGGAGCUCUUCUCACAGUAAA